CCUACGGGUGGCACCAGUGGGGAAUUUUGGACAAUGGGCGCAAGCCUGAUCCAGCAAUGCCGCGUGCAGGAUGAAGGCCUUCGGGUUGUAAACUGCUUUUGUACGGAACGAAAAGCCCUGGGUUAAUACCCUGGGGUCAUGACGGUACCGUAAGAAUAAGCACCGGCUAACUACGUGCCAGCAGCCGCGGUAAUACGUAGGGUGCGAGCGUUAAUCGGAAUUACUGGGCGUAAAGCGUGCGCAGGCGGUUUUGUAAGACAGAGGUGAAAUCCCCGGGCUCAACCUGGGAACUGCCUUUGUGACUGCAAGGCUAGAGUACGGCAGAGGGGGAUGGAAUUCCGCGUGUAGCAGUGAAAUGCGUAGAUAUGCGGAGGAACACCGAUGGCGAAGGCAAUCCCCUGGGCCUGUACUGACGCUCAUGCACGAAAGCGUGGGGAGCAAACAGGAUUAGAUACCCCCGUAGUC
rnacentral:rRNA from 1 species